AGUGAACGCUGGCGGUAGGCCUAACACAUGCAAGUCGAACGGCAGCACAGUAAGAGCUUGCUCUUACGGGUGGCGAGUGGCGGACGGGUGAGGAAUACAUCGGAAUCUACUUUUUCGUGGGGGAUAACGUAGGGAAACUUACGCUAAUACCUCAUACGACCUACGGGUGAAAGCAGGGGAUCUUCGUACCUUGCGCGAUUGAAUGAGCCGAUGUCGGAUUAGCUAGUUGGCGGGGUAAAGGCCCACCAAGGCGACGAUCCGUAGCUGGUCUGAGAGGAUGAUCAGCCACACUGGAACUGAGACACGGUCCAGACUCCUACGGGAGGCAGCAGUGGGGAAUAUUGGACAAUGGGCGCAAGCCUGAUCCAGCCAUACCGCGUGGGUGAAGAAGGCCUUCGGGUUGUAAAGCCCUUUUGUUGGGAAAGAAAAGCAGCAGGUUAAUACCCCGCUGUUCUGACGGUACCCAAAGAAUAAGCACCGGCUAACUUCGUG
rnacentral:rRNA from 1 species